GGCCAGUUAGCUCAGUUGGUUACAGUGUAGUGCUAAUAACGCCAAGGUCGCGGGUUUUAUCCCCCUAUGGGCCA
rnacentral:tRNA from 1 species